CGAACCGGGGGAACUGAAACAUCUAAGUACCCCGAGGAAAAGAAAUCAACCGAGAUUCCCCCAGUAGCGGCGAGCGAACGGGGAGCAGCCCAGAGCCUGAAUCAGUGUGUGUGUUAGUGGAAGCGUCUGGAAAGGCGCGCGAUACAGGGUGACAGCCCCGUACACAAAAAUGCACAUGCUGUGAGCUCGAUGAGUAGGGCGGGACACGUGGUAUCCUGUCUGAAUAUGGGGGGACCAUCCUCCAAGGCUAAAUACUCCUGACUGACCGAUAGUGAACCAGUACCGUGAGGGAAAGGCGAAAAGAACCCCGGCGAGGGGAGUGAAAAAGAACCUGAAACCGUGUACGUACAAGCAGUGGGAGCCUCUUUAUGGGGUGACUGCGUACCUUUUGUAUAAUGGGUCAGCGACUUAUAUUCUGUAGCAAGGUUAACCGAAUAGGGGAGCCGAAGGGAAACCGAGUCUUAACUGGGCGUUAAGUUGCAGGGUAUAGACCCGAAACCCGGUGAUCUAGCCAUGGGCAGGUUGAAGGUUGGGUAACACUAACUGGAGGACCGAACCGACUAAUGUUGAAAAAUUAGCGGAUGACUUGUGGCUGGGGGUGAAAGGCCAAUCAAACCGGGAGAUAGCUGGUUCUCCCCGAAAGCUAUUUAGGUAGCGCCUCGUGAAUUCAUCUCCGGGGGUAGAGCACUGUUUCGGCAAGGGGGUCAUCCCGACUUACCAACCCGAUGCAAACUGCGAAUACCGGAGAAUGUUAUCACGGGAGACACACGGCGGGUGCUAACGUCCGUCGUGAAGAGGGAAACAACCCAGACCGCCAGCUAAGGUCCCAAAGUCAUGGUUAAGUGGGAAACGAUGUGGGAAGGCCCAGACAGCCAGGAUGUUGGCUUAGAAGCAGCCAUCAUUUAAAGAAAGCGUAAUAGCUCACUGGUCGAGUCGGCCUGCGCGGAAGAUGUAACGGGGCUAAACCAUGCACCGAAGCUGCGGCAGCGACGCUUAUGCGUUGUUGGGUAGGGGAGCGUUCUGUAAGCCUGUGAAGGUGUGCUGUGAGGCAUGCUGGAGGUAUCAGAAGUGCGAAUGCUGACAUAAGUAACGAUAAAGCGGGUGAAAAGCCCGCUCGCCGGAAGACCAAGGGUUCCUGUCCAACGUUAAUCGGGGCAGGGUGAGUCGACCCCUAAGGCGAGGCCGAAAGGCGUAGUCGAUGGGAAACAGGUUAAUAUUCCUGUACUUGGUGUUACUGCGAAGGGGGGACGGAGAAGGCUAUGUUGGCCGGGCGACGGUUGUCCCGGUUUAAGCGUGUAGGCUGGUUUUCCAGGCAAAUCCGGAAAAUCAAGGCUGAGGCGUGAUGACGAGGCACUACGGUGCUGAAGCAACAAAUGCCCUGCUUCCAGGAAAAGCCUCUAAGCAUCAGGUAACAUCAAAUCGUACCCCAAACCGACACAGGUGGUCAGGUAGAGAAUACCAAGGCGCUUGAGAGAACUCGGGUGAAGGAACUAGGCAAAAUGGUGCCGUAACUUCGGGAGAAGGCACGCUGAUAUGUAGGUGAGGUCCCUCGCGGAUGGAGCUGAAAUCAGUCGAAGAUACCAGCUGGCUGCAACUGUUUAUUAAAAACACAGCACUGUGCAAACACGAAAGUGGACGUAUACGGUGUGACGCCUGCCCGGUGCCGGAAGGUUAAUUGAUGGGGUUAGCGGUAACGCGAAGCUCUUGAUCGAAGCCCCGGUAAACGGCGGCCGUAACUAUAACGGUCCUAAGGUAGCGAAAUUCCUUGUCGGGUAAGUUCCGACCUGCACGAAUGGCGUAAUGAUGGCCAGGCUGUCUCCACCCGAGACUCAGUGAAAUUGAACUCGCUGUGAAGAUGCAGUGUACCCGCGGCAAGACGGAAAGACCCCGUGAACCUUUACUAUAGCUUGACACUGAACAUUGAGCCUUGAUGUGUAGGAUAGGUGGGAGGCUUUGAAGUGUGGACGCCAGUCUGCAUGGAGCCGACCUUGAAAUACCACCCUUUAAUGUUUGAUGUUCUAACGUUGACCCGUAAUCCGGGUUGCGGACAGUGUCUGGUGGGUAGUUUGACUGGGGCGGUCUCCUCCUAAAGAGUAACGGAGGAGCACGAAGGUUGGCUAAUCCUGGUCGGACAUCAGGAGGUUAGUGCAAUGGCAUAAGCCAGCUUGACUGCGAGCGUGACGGCGCGAGCAGGUGCGAAAGCAGGUCAUAGUGAUCCGGUGGUUCUGAAUGGAAGGGCCAUCGCUCAACGGAUAAAAGGUACUCCGGGGAUAACAGGCUGAUACCGCCCAAGAGUUCAUAUCGACGGCGGUGUUUGGCACCUCGAUGUCGGCUCAUCACAUCCUGGGGCUGAAGUAGGUCCCAAGGGUAUGGCUGUUCGCCAUUUAAAGUGGUACGCGAGCUGGGUUUAGAACGUCGUGAGACAGUUCGGUCCCUAUCUGCCGUGGGCGCUGGAGAACUGAGGGGGGCUGCUCCUAGUACGAGAGGACCGGAGUGGACGCAUCACUGGUGUUCGGGUUGUCAUGCCAAUGGCACUGCCCGGUAGCUAAAUGCGGAAGAGAUAAGUGCUGAAAGCAUCUAAGCACGAAACUUGCC
rnacentral:rRNA from 1 species